UACCAUGGGUCCCCGUGGGUCAGGGAGAGC
rnacentral:piRNA from 1 species